CUAAAGCUUCCUGUUCAAAGUCUGGCUGAGAAUUUUUGCUGCUUCUUUCCCUACCUCCUCAUUUCCGAAGGAGGUACCUUUCUGGCUUCUCUGUUGAACAUUUCCUAAAUAAAGUGUGGAUGAAAAGCAAUAGAGGAAGGAAAUGCAGAAAAUUAUAAGGCUGAAAUAGAAACUGGCCACAGCAGAGAUUAAAGAUGGCUGUUAUAACAUAUUCUCAGUGUAAAAACUCAAAAAUAAUAGAGAGCAUUACAGAUGACAACCAUGGGUUUACUUGUGAUAAAAUAGUCACUCUUCGUUCAGAAACAAUGAAGACCAAACCAAAUCAGCAAGCUCCCAUCAGCAUCGAACUAAGGUUAAACCAUGACCACUCCUCGAGGCCUUCCCUGGAGAUUCGGGCUCAUAGAUUCCUUCUUUCUCUGAAUUCUAAAGUACUUAUGGAAGAUUCAGCAGAUAAUUUUUAAUGAAU
rnacentral:lncRNA from 1 species